AACAAACGCUGGCGGCGUGCCUAAUACAUGCAAGUCGAACGGGGUAGCAAUACCUAGUGGCGCACGGGUGAGGAACGCGUGGAUAAUCUGCCUUAGAGUGGGGGAUAACUAGUCGAAAGAUUAGCUAAUACCGCAUAAGACCACAGGAGCUGCGGCUCUAGGGGUCAAAGGUUUUUCGCUCUAAGAUGAGUCCGCGUAAGAUUAGCUAGUUGGUGAGGUAACGGCUCACCAAGGCGACGAUCUUUAACUGGUCUGAGUGGAUGAUCAGUCACACUGGAACUGAGACACGGUCCAGACUCCUACGGGAGGCAGCAGUAGGGAAUAUUGCACAAUGGAGGAAACUCUGAUGCAGCGACGCCGCGUGAGUGAUGAAGGCCUUCGGGUCGUAAAGCUCUGUCGCAGGGGAAUAACACAAUGAAUGUACCCUGUAAGAAAGGAUCGGCUAACUUCGUGCCAGCCGCCGCGGUAAGAC
rnacentral:rRNA from 1 species